GUGCUUGCUUUGGCAGCACAUAUAUUAAAAUUGGAACGAUGCAGAGAAGAUUAGGAUGGCCCCUGAACAAUUAUGACACACAAAUUUGUGAAGUGUUCUAUAUUGUA
ensembl:snRNA LOC120099397 U6 spliceosomal RNA